UACAUGACUCAGCGGCCAAGUGAACGUCUCAGGGUCACACAGAUAUUAAGUGGUGGAGUUGAGAUUUUGAACCACAAGGAUUUUUUUUUUUUUUUUUUUUUAAAUCCAGCGUUCUUUCUGCUGUUGUAUUUACCUCCCUGGAUCAUUAACACGGGGCAGGAUUUGGCUUUGCAGAAAAAGGAGAGACCUUCCUUCCGCCGCGGAGGAAAUUCCAACCUACGCUACCCUGAUCUCGAUUACUCUUGGCACAGUGAUCCUGCAGUCGUUCGAGCCCAGCGUCUUGGCUAGAUACAGAACUGAAGCCUCAGAACAACGGCCUCCAAUCCCUUCACUUUGCAGAUUCUUUGCCAUUAUAAGAUAUUGAAUAUAUUUCCCUGUGCUAUAUUCCAC
ensembl:lncRNA